GGAAAAGGCCAAUGAUACUCCAUCGUUGGCUGUCAAGAUUCAUCUACUGCAAUAUGCAAUGAUCUACUUCACCUCAAUUAUAACGUCAUGCAUGAUCAGCAACCCCUAAUCCAAAGAAAAAAUAAUUAGAUUAUUUAUUCUUAAAUUUUUUUUUAUAGUUUAAUAAUACAACAUAAAAUCUUAACUUCUUAUAUAAACCGUUAUAAAAUGAAAAUAUGUAUGUGCGUAUAUAUAUAUAUAUAUAUAUAUAUAUAUAUAUAUAUGUAUGUAUGUAUGUAUGUAUGUAUGUAUGUAUGUAUGUAUGUAUGUAUGUAUGUAUGUAUGUAUGUAUGUAUAACACUUACACAAAUAAUGAAUCUAAUGCAGACACAUGUUAUAACAGCCUAAAGUGCCCAACUCAUCAAUGCCAGAACCAUUCCCAACUCAUCAAUGCCAGAACCAUUCCUGGAGAUAUAUGUUCAAUGCAUCCCUGUUGAUGCUGAAGCCCCAUCUACAUGAUAAAAUUCCAGUUUAUUAAUCGAAAUUCGUAACUAUGUGAUCAUAUUAUUAUGAA
rnacentral:lncRNA from 1 species